UUAGUUCGACUGUUUUUAUAUGUAUCUCAUAACUUUUUACUGAGUGUAUCGAUUUUGAUGAUACUUUUCCAAAUCGAAAGCUGUUGCUUGUCGUGUGGUCCCAUUUAAAUUUGGCCGAAAUCUGGCGAGUAGUUUUUGUUUUAUCCUUAAUAAUUUGUAUUUAUUUAUAUGUUUUUUUUCCGACUACCCACAUUGAUGACGAUUUAAUUUUUGUUUCUUGUCAAUGUAAUAAUAAUAAUUUUAAUCUUUUUAUUUUAAAUAAACAAAC